GAUGAACGCUGGCGGCGUGCCUAACACAUGCAAGUCGAGCGUGAUUUAUGAGGACGAAACUUCGGUCUAGGAAUCAUAAUGAAAGCGGCGGACGGGUGAGUAACGCGUAGGCAACCUGCCCUUAACACAGGGAUAGCCUCGGGAAACCGGGAUUAAAACCUGAUGAAGCCAAAGAGUCACAUGGCUCGUUGGCCAAAGAUUUAUCGGUUAAGGAUGGGCCUGCGUCUGAUUAGUUUGUUGGUGGGGUAACGGCCUAACAAGACUACGAUCAGUAGCCGACCUGAGAGGGUGAUCGGCCACAUUGGAACUGAGACACGGUCCAAACUCCUACGGGAGGCAGCAGUGGGGAAUAUUGCACAAUGGGCGAAAGCCUGAUGCAGCAACGCCGCGUGAGCGAUGAAGGCCUUUGGGUCGUAAAGCUCUGUCCUUGGGGAAGAAACAAAUGACGGUACCCAAGGAGGAAGCCCCGGCUAACUACGUGCCAGCAGCCGCGGUAACAC
rnacentral:rRNA from 1 species